GGCUCUUUCACCCCUCCCCUCAAUGAACAGAUGGCGUGUUUGGACUGUUCGCAUUCGCUCCUCAUAGGGACAAAUGAAUCUCUUCCCACGCCAUGGGAUUUCCCUUGAUUUUUAUAUUGGGAGUGAAAAGAUGAAGCAUGAGACUCUUCAGCUGCAUCUCGAACUGCAUCUAAUCCCAGCACAUCUCUCUCAAUCUUUGAUUAAGUCUGUUCAUCUAAAAGAGAGACACAGGGGAAAAAUGGAAAUGGGACUUUGGAAGAAUGACCAUCCACAUUCCCAUCACAGCCUGAGAUUUCCUACCUGAUUGAGAUUUUCAGUAGAUGGCCCUAGGUCUAGUUUCCCACUUUGGACCUGCUGCCCUUGGCUCCAAUAGAGGACUUCCAAGUAACUAGGAAGAUUUCACCUCUCUUUUGAAACAUAAUGGACAAAUGUGUUUCUUUAGGAUGAGAGGUGCACCUGGCUAGUCAAUCUUUAUUUUCCUAAAAUAAACAGGAUGAAAACUCAAAACAAAAAGAAAUACCUCAUGGGCAAAAGCUCUCCCAAUACAACUAAUACAGACACUCAACAUGGCUUUGUAGAAACUGACCCCUCUCCCAAGUCUUAUGUUUGUCAGAAUUGCAUGCCUAUUUCAAUCGAAGAAAAGUGAUCUGAUCUCUUCAGAUGAAGGUGGGACUUGGAGAUGCUGCUGCCUAGAGUUAACUUGCCAGAGAAAGGAUAAGCAUUCGGGAAGUGCCAGGAUGGGGUAUCAGCUGAACAAUGGCAGGAUCCCUUCUGCCAGUGGGCUGGCUCAGGGAGUAAACCUCCCCGGAAGGAAUUUUGUUUCUCUCUAGAAUCAAAGUGGGCAAAAUGAUCACCUUAUUCGCCUGGAGUGAACCAGGUUGAAACUGAGAAGGCAGACAUGGGUGAUAAGCCAGAUGAAGUCAUAUGUUAUAACUAAGCUAUGUACCUGUAACUUGCCUGGUAGUUUUUUCAUUCUCUCUAAACAGGUCAUAAUAAGUGUUAGUCUGUGAUCCACUAUGGAGAGAGAUUUCUGGAAAGAAUAGAGGCAGUGGUAGAGGGUCCAAGGUUGUUAUUUAAGGAGAUGAAUGUGGGUCAGGUGCCGUGGCUCACACCUGUAAUCCCAGCAUUUUGGGAGGCAGAGGCAGGAGGAUUGCUUAAGGCCAGAGUUCAAGACCAAACUGGCCAAUAUAGUGAGAUCCCCCCCCCAUCUCUACAAAAGAUAGAAAAACUUAGCCAGGCAUGGUGGCAGGUGCUAUAGUCCCUGCCACCAUGGGACUACAGCUCCUGCAGUCCCAGCUACUCAGGAGUUGAGGCGGAAGGAUUGCUUGAGCCCAGAAGUUCGAGGUUGCAGUGAGCCAUGAUCAUGCCACUGCACUCCUCCGUGGGUGACAGAGCGAGACCUGACUCAAUAAUAAUAAUAUUAAUAAUAAUGAUAAUGCAACACAAACUAUCUUUUACCUCUUGAACAAUGAAUGCAGAUGCCAUGACUACAUCUGUUUGUUGGGGACCAGGGAGGCUGCCAGUGAGGAUUCAGGGUGGAAGUAGUGUGUACCCAAUACCUAUUGUGAGAUGUGGCCUGGGGAGCCCUGAGAUUGCCUGGCCAGGCUCACUCACUACCCAGACACCCUCUUCCUGCAUGGCGAGUCCCUCAGCCCCUCCAAGGCUCAAUUCUCAGACAUCGGAGUAAUCCACAUCCUCCAUCUUGAGUUACUCCUCACAAGGCCUGCAAGUUUUCCUAGGAGGAAGGGAAGACAGGGUUGAACCCACACAAUUCUAGAAUCUAGAAUUUGGAGGAUUUCUAAACCAUUUCUGUAAGUCAGCCCUUGAGAACUUGUAGAUUUUCUCAUCAUUUGCAGCAUGAGAGUCUGGAGUAGACUGUUUGGAUUUGACUCUUGGUUCCUUGGGCAAGUUACUUAACCUCUCAGCUGUGUGUCAGUUUCCUUAUCUAAAAAGUGUGGUUAAUAAUAACUGACCUCUCAGAGGUAUUGUGAGGUUACUGUGAUGAUUAAAUUAGUUGAUUCAUAUAAAAUGUUUAAAAGAGU
rnacentral:lncRNA from 10 species